CCCGGCGUUGGACUGGACCUGGUCGACCAUGAACGCGUCGUGGGUGGGGGCCAGGACCUGGACCGGAACGCCGGUGCGGCGCCCGGCGGGCCGGGU
rnacentral:tRNA from 1 species